rfam:Acyrthosiphon pisum strain LSR1 Contig32296, whole genome shotgun sequence.
AAUUCCAGUUCCUUUUUAAAUCGAAAAAAAUCUUUUGCCUUUUACUAAAGAUUUCCGUGAAGGGGAGCAUUCAAAGGAGCCUAGACGUUUAAUUUUUACAACUGCCUGACGGGUCGGGCUU